GGCAAUCCCGUGGCGGCAGCGGGGGGAGAACGGGUGGUGCAAGCGUUAAUUGGAAGGAAUGGGCGGAAAGCGCACGCAGGCGGUUUGUUAAGUCAGAUGUGAAAUCCCCGAGCUUAACUUGGGAACUGCAUUUGAAACUGGCAAGCUAGAGUCUCGUAGAGGGGGGUAGAAUUCCAGGUGUAGCGGUGAAAUGCGUAGAGAUCGGGAGGAAUACCGGUGGCGAAGGCGGCCCCCUGGACGAAGACUGACGCUCAGGUGCGAAAGCGUGGGGAGCAAACAGGAUUAGAUACCCGAGUAGUC
rnacentral:rRNA from 1 species